AGAGUUUGAUCAUGGCUCAGAAUCAACGCUGGCGGCGGCCUAACACAUGCAAGUCGAGCGAGAAAGUGGAGCAAUCCAUGAGUACAGCGGCGUACGGGUGAGUAACACGUGGGUGAUCUACCUCUUAGUGGGGAAUAACCCUGGGAAACCGGGGCUAAUACCGCAUAAGCCUUAGCAGGGAAAGCAGCAAUGCGCUGAGAGAGGAGCCCGCGGCUGAUUAGCUAGUUGGUGAGGUAAAGGCCCACCAAGGCAUAGAUCGGUAGCCGGCCUGAGAGGGCACACGGCCACACUGGCACUGAAACACGGGCCAGACUCCUACGGGAGGCAGCAGUGGGGAAUCUUGCACAAUGGGGGCAACCCUGAUGCAGCGACGCCGCGUGAGCGAUGAAGCCCUUCGGGGUGUAAAGCUCUUUCGGCAGGGAAGAUUAUGACGGUACCUGCAGAAGCAGCUGCGGCUAACUACGUGCCAGCAGCCGCGGUAAUACGUAGGCAGCGAGCGUUGUUCGGAGUUACUGGGCGUAAAGGGUGUGUAGGCGGUUCUUUAAGUUUGGUGUGAAAUCUCCCGGCUCAACCGGGAGGGUGCGCCGAAUACUGAGGGACUAGAGUACGGGAGAGGAAAGUGGAAUUCCUGGUGUAGCGGUGAAAUGCGUAGAUAUCAGGAGGAACACCGGUGGUGUAGACGGCUUUCUGGACCGUAACUGACGCUGAGACACGAAAGCGUGGGUAGCAAACAGGAUUAGAUACCCUAGUAGUCC
rnacentral:rRNA from 1 species